rnacentral:rRNA from 1 species
AUUGAACGCUAGCGGGAUGCUUUACACAUGCAAGUCGAACGGCAGCGCGGACUUCGGUCUGGCGGCGAGUGGCGAACGGGUGAGUAAUGUAUCGGAACGUGCCCAGUAGCGGGGGAUAACUACGCGAAAGCGUAGCUAAUACCGCAUACGCCCUACGGGGGAAAGCAGGGGAUCGUAAGACCUUGCACUAUUGGAGCGGCCGAUAUCGGAUUAGCUAGUUGGUGAGGUAACGGCUCACCAAGGCGACGAUCCGUAGCUGGUUUGAGAGGACGACCAGCCACACUGGGACUGGGACACGGCCCAGACUCCUACGGGAGGCAGCAGUGGGGAAUGUUGGACAAUGGGGGCAACCCUGAUCCAGCCAUCCCGCGUGUGCGAUGAAGGCCUUCGGGUUGUAAAGCACUUUUGGCAGGAAAGAAACGUCGCGGGCUAAUACCCCGUGGAACUGACGGUACCUGCAGAAUAAGCACCGGCUAACUACGUG